rnacentral:pre_miRNA from 1 species
GAUGUACUCCCUCCGUUCCGAAUUACUUGUCUUGGAUUUGUCUAGAUACGGAUGUAUCUAGACUCAUUUUAGUGCUAGAUACCUUCGCAUCUAGACAAAUCUAAGACAAGUAAUUCAGAACGGAGGGAGUAGUUU